rnacentral:rRNA from 1 species
ACUCAAAGGAAUAGACGGGGGCCCGCACAAGCAGCGGAGCGUGUGGUUUAAUUCGAGGCUACACGAAGAACCUUACCUGGCUUGGACAGGCAGCUAGUAGUCGACUGAAAGGGAGACGACCCGCAAGGGAGGCUGCCCAGGUGCUGCAUGGCUGUCGUCAGCUCGUGCCGUGAGGUGUUAGGUUAAGUCCUGUAACGAGCGCAACCCCUGGCUUCAGUUACACGUGUCUGAAGCGACUGCCCGUGACAAGCGGGAGGAAGGUGGGGAUGACGUCAAGUCAGCAUGGCCUUUAUAGCCAGGGCUACACACACGCUACAAUGGCCGGUACAACGGGUAGCCAACGCGCAAGCGGGAGCCAAUCCCAACAAAGCCGGUCUCAGUUCGGAUUGUGGGCUGCAACCCGCCCACAUGAAGUCGGAGUUGCUAGUAACCGCCGGUCAGCUAUACGGCGGUGAAUACGUUCCCGGGCCUUGUACACACCGCCCGU